rnacentral:rRNA from 1 species
GCCUAGGAAUCUGCCUGGUAGUGGGGGACGAACGUUUCGAAAGGAACGCUAAUACCGCAUACGUCCUACGGGAGAAAGCAGGGACCUUCGGGCCUUGCGCUAUCAGAUGAGCCUAGGUCGGAUUAGCUAGUUGGUGAGGUAAUGGCUCACCAAGGCGACGAUCUGUAACUGGUCUGAGAGGAUGAUCAGUCACACUGGAACUGAGACACGGUCCAGACUCCUACGGGAGGCAGCAGCC